GGCGGCGUGGAGGGCUCGGGAGGAGUGAAGGGCUCACGCGGAGGAGGGUCCCGGCCUGAGCCGACGGCCCGCGGCCGGGGGAAGCGUAGGGUGCACUGGCUCGGGCCUGCAUGAGGCCUGUUCUGCGUCUGGGGCCGAGGCAGAAAUGGCCUGGCGGUCUCACGCUGUCCUAAAUCUCUCAUCAGUAGCAUGGCCCCACCCCCACCUCCGCAGGGGAAGUGGAGACCGAGGGUCUCCCCUACGUCCCCGACUCAAAGGGCGGCCGGGCCUUAAAUCCCCUUGCAGCUCCAUCUCCAGCCAUCCUACCGUGGGGCGCUUUGUGGCUCUCUCAUGGCGGCCGAUAGGACUCUCCCGGGGCGGUAAUGGGACUGGCUCUGGCCUUGUUUUCCCCCUCCCUAAAUUCCUUCCCUAAGGUCAGUGCAGACCGGGUAAAGCUCUGGGGCGCAGCUGCCUGCUGGGGUCGGUGUAGGAAAAGGGUCUCCCUAACCAGAAGCAGCCUCAGCGCGCCCCCUUCCCUCAGGCCCCUGGCUCCUUGGCGCUGCACCCCCAUCCCUAACUUCUGCCUCCUCCCUCAGCCCAGGCUGAUUCAGUCCGUGCCUGGCGAAAGGAGGAGGAGACCGGAGUGGGUCCAGGCUGAGCUGUGGGAUAAAGGGUUUGGGGGGGAAUCCUGAGCCCGGACAUUCCUUCCGAGAGAGUGAGUGCUAGGGAGAGAUGGGAGGAGAGUCCUCUCACAUUUCCCCCUUUCUUCCCCCUCCUCCCGCAGGCUGGGACCCACAGACCCCCCCCCCCCACACACCCCAACACACACUGACCCAUACAUUCCCGGACGGUUACUUGCCUCGUGGUCACUAGAAAAUUGUACCAUUUCACGCUGAAGGGCCUUCAUCAGUAUGAGGAAAAUCCAGAGCUGGGGAUGGGAGUGCACGUGCCCAGGGUCACAUAGCCCAAGGGUCUCACUCUGUUGACAUGAUCUUGGCUCACUACAACCUCUGCCUCCUGGGUGCAAGUGAUUCUCCUGCCUUAGCCUCUCAAGUAGCUGGGACUACAGGAACGGACCACCAUGCUCAGCUAAUUUUUGUAUUUUUUGGUAGAGACAGGGUUUCACUGUGUUGGCCAGGUUGGUCUCAAACUCCUGACCUCAAGUGAUCUGCCCGCCUCAGCCUCCCAAAGUGCUGGGAUUACAGGCGUGAGCCGCCGCGCCCAGCCCAAUUUCAUCCUUGAACCCUCUGCAGAGCUCCAAACCGGGCCCAGCAUAUAUUCUGCCUAAUAGUUACCCUGGCACCAGAAUAGAUGUUCCCUCAGUGCCCAGUUGCUGAAGGAAUAGAUGUGUGUAUUAAUGAAUGAACAAGUGAAUUCCCGGCUGGUCCAGGGAAGCCAGAGGGACAUCACAACGUAUCCGGGUACAGAUAGCACUUCUGUGGGACUCAGCAUCGCUACCACCCUAAGGACCCCGAAAACCCCAGGACCCCUUCAAGAAUUGGCCCAGAUGAGCAGCUGGGGAUGCAGGACUGAAUGGAGCAGCAGGAAGAGGCUGCUGGCGGCCGAGUUCAUUCAGAAGAAAGCCCAACUCAGAGCUGCCAAGGACUGAGGGAAGCUUACGGCAGGGGUCUACCGUCCCCCUUGACUUCAAGGCUCCAAGUUCUGACAAACCUCCUUCCCUGUGACAAGUGUCUUUUACCAACAUCAAGAGGAGGUCUGGAUCCCCUGGAUCCUGCUGCUUUACUCAUGAGAUCUGUGCCAGAGCCAUUAUUAGGAAGACCUGCUCCAAUCUCUCCCCCAUUUUACAGACAAAGAAACUGAGGUCCAGGGAGGAGAGCCAGUGGCAUGGACCAAGCUCACAGGGGAAGCAGAGCCAGGACUAGAACUCAAGUCUCUGCUGCCAAUGCAAGCCCUCUCCCCUUAUACCCUUGUUCUGUCUGCUGAAUUAUGCUCCCUCUGACUGGGACAAAGGGCCCUCCUUAGAGUGUAGGGUGACCAGGAUGUGCUACCUAAUGAGGAACAGGGAGACCUUAGCCCCCAUGCCCCAUUGACUCCGGCUCCUGUCCCUUGGCUUGGUUCCUCACCAUUGAUCUAGUGGCCUGGGAUAGUUUAGGUGGAAGUCCAAGAUGCUGAAGUCCUCUAAGGACUUGGCUCUUGCCUGGCCCAGUUUAUGUUAGUCCUGGGAGGUAGAGGUGGAGGUCAGGUAAAGACUCUCGUGCUUGAUCACAGGGUGAGUGAAAGAGAGAGAGAGAGAGAGAGAGAGAGAGAGAGAGAGAGAGAGAGAGAGAGAGAGAGAGAGAGAGAGUGUGUAUACAGGCAUGCACACUCAACUGGUGGCUCACUGAAGAGGGGGCUCCCACUAGAUUCCCCAAACAAUCCACAUUUCAUCUGGGCAGGCCCUUCUGAACCCAAAUAUUUUCUCCCAUUCUAAUCCCAUACCCUUCCCCCAUCAAGGCCUUAGGGCUGAGCCUGAGAGAGGGAGGGAGGGAAGAAGAGAGAGAAGCCACGUUUCCUUAGAAAGGGAGGGGAAGAGUGAGAAGAGAGAGGCAAGCCCACAGUCGGACCUAGUCAAGAAGACAGGGAGAGGGAGACAGAAAGUCAGCCAGACUCCAGGAACAGAGGGACAGAGCAGAAGUCUAGAGGUAGAUGGAGAGAAAGGGCUCCCUCCUCCUGAGCCAUCUCCCUUGCUGCCUUGACCGCCUCCUCCCAACCCCCAGCCUCAGGUCCCUCCCUGGGGGGUCUCUGGGCCUGAUUUUCUUCGGCGGCCAGGGCAGCACCCUGAAGUUUCUGGGCCUGGCUGAGAACCCAGGUCUGGCUCUCAUCCCCAGGGGCGUCGGGUCUCAGGCACUCUGAACCCUCCCCGGUGCGCCCCCCAGCGGAGAUCCAGCCUAAGAGCCACCUAAGCCCCAAGGGGGGCGCAGGAAAGGGCGCUGCCACUUUACACCCAGUCUGGGGUGGGUUGGGGUCGGCUAGAAGACAUGGGAGGGGGGCGGGAUUGGUGUCUCUUGAGCUCAGAUCCGAGGAUCGGACGGUCGCCGAUGCCUUGAUGGCCCCUUCCCCCUAGAAGGUGGAGGCCAAUGUAUGCAAGGAUUGAGCCCCAGGAGGGUGGCGCACUGGCCCAAGCUCCGAGGCUCAGGUCAGGCGGGGGUCCAAGGGAGUUGUCGAGGGACCUACUCGCCAAAUCUCGGAGUUCCAAGCACAGGUCGCUCCGGGAGAUCCUGCGCUGAACUACCUCCACCGCUCCUGCCCAGUAAUGUGUAGUCGGCCCUUCUAGGGGUCCAGGCGCGUAGCGAAGAGGGGUGCCGAGGGGUGGAACCGGAACGGAGACCCUUCAUCUUACCGCAUUG